rnacentral:rRNA from 1 species
CACGCCGUAAACGAUGAAUACUAGGUGUCGGGGGUCGAACCUCGGUGCCGCAGUUAACACAAUAAGUAUUCCGCCUGGGGAGUACGAUCGCAAGAUUAAAACUCAAAGGAAUUGACGGGG